GAGUCUACGUCGCAUUAGCUAGUUGUGGGUAACGGCUCACCGAGCGACGAUGCGUAGCUKUGCUGAGRAGCAGAACAGCCACACUGGGACUGAGACMCGGCCCAGACUCCUACGGGAGGCAGCAGUAGGGAAUUUUCGGCAAUGGGGGCAACCCUGACCGAGCAAUGCCGCGUGAACGACGAAGGUCUUCGGAUCGUAAAGUUCUGUGAUUGGGGAAGAACAGCAUGAUCAGGAAAUGGGUCAUGUUUGACGGUACCCGAUUAGAAAGCCCCGGCUAACUAUGUGCCAGCAGCCGCGGUAAAACAUAGGGGGCGAGCGCUAUCCGGAAUUAUUGGGCGUAAAGAGUACGUAGGCGGCMWGWAAAARAMUGAUGUGAAAUCCCGCGGCUUAACCGCGGAGGGUCAUUGGAAACUGGCAGGCUUGAGUACGGCAGGGGUAAGUGGAAUUCCAAGUGGAGCGGUGAAAUGCGUAGAUAUUUGGAGGAACACCAGUGGCGAAGGCGGCUUACUGGGCCGGAACUGACGCUGAGGUACGAAAGCGUGGGGAGCAAACAGGAUUAGAUACCCUGGUAGUCCACGCCGUAAACGAUGA
rnacentral:rRNA from 1 species